UACGUAGGGGGCGAGCGUUGUCCGGAUUUAUUGGGCGUAAAGAGCUCGUAGGCGGUUUGGCAAGUCGGGUGUGAAAACUCCGGGCUCAACUCGGAGACGCCACUCGAUACUGCUAUGACUCGAGUCCGGUAGGGGAGUGCGGAAUUCCUGGUGUAGCGGUGAAAUGCGCAGAUAUCAGGAGGAACACCGGUGGCGAAAGCGGCGCGCUGGACCACUACUGACGCUGAGGAACGAAAGCUAGGGGAGCAAACAGG
rnacentral:rRNA from 1 species